rnacentral:rRNA from 1 species
AUACGUAGGGUGCAAGCGUUAAUCGGAAUUACUGGGCGUAAAGCGUGCGCUGGCGGUUUUGUAAGACAGUGGUGUAAUCCCCGGGCUCAACCUGGGAACUGCCAUUGUGACUGCAAGGCUGGAGUGCGGCAGAGGGGGAUGGAAUUCCGCGUGUAGCAGUGAAAUGCGUAGAUAUGCGGAGGAACACCGAUGGCGAAGGCAAUCCCCUGGGCCUGCACUGACGCUCAUGCACGAAAGCGUGGGGAGCAAACAGGAUUAGAUACCCUGGUAGUCCACGCCCUAAACGAUGUCAACUGGUUGUUGGGGAUUUAUUUUCUCAGUAACGAAGCUAACGCGUGAAGUUGACCGCCUGGGGAGUACGGCCGCAAGGUUAAAACUCAAAGGAAUUGACGGGG